rnacentral:rRNA from 1 species
GAAGUGAGAAUGCUGACAUGAGUAGCGAUAAACAGAGUGAGAAACUCUGUCGCCGAAAGUCCAAGGGUUCCUGCGCAAGGCUAAUCCGCGCAGGGUGAGCCGGCCCCUAAGCCGAGGGCGAAAGCCGUAGGCGAUGGGAACCAGGUUAAUAUUCCUGGGCCUGCUGGAUGUGACGAAGGCCGAAAGUCGU